AUCCUCUCCUCUUCUUAUAUUAUGUUAACGCGUUCGUUGAAAGCAGGGAUUGCAGCCUAGGACAUAUUACGGUAUGGAUACAUAAAGAUUGUAGAGGCCAUAUAUACAAGUGGAACAAAAAGAGAGGAUCAUUGAGCCUAGAAUGACAUUGUUCUAGACAAGUGAAGGAGAUUUUUAUGUAAGAAUACUCAAGAAAAAGAAAGUAUACUGUGAUUGAGCUGAGAAGCCUCCAUUCUUUUGUGUAGACUUUUGCUAUCAUUUUUGUGCUGUAAGUCUCUUCUACAACACUUGGAUUCGCUUGGCUAAGCCGUUACUAAUAUAACGUUUUCUUCUUCCCCGGA